rnacentral:rRNA from 1 species
CGUAGGGUGCGAGCGUUGUCCGGAAUUAUUGGGCGUAAAGGGCUCGUAGGCGGUUUGUUGCGUCAGAAGUGAAAACUCAGGGCUUAACCCUGAGCCUGCUUCUGAUACGGGCAGACUAGAGGUAUGCAGGGGAGAACGGAAUUCCUGGUGUAGCGGUGAAAUGCGCAGAUAUCAGGAGGAACACCGGUGGCGAAGGCGGUUCUCUGGGCAUUACCUGACGCUGAGGAGCGAAAGUGUGGGGAGCGAACAGGAUUAGAUACCCUGGUAGUCCACACCGUAAACGUUGGGCGCUAGGUGUGGGACUCAUUCCACGAGUUCCGUGCCGCAGCUAACGCAUUAAGCGCCCCGCCUGGGGAGUACGGCCGCAAGGCUA